AAACGUAGGAGGCGAGCGUUAUCCGGAUUUACUGGGCGUAAAGGGCAAGUAGGCGGUGGUCAAAGUUGGGCGUGACAGAUCCUGGCUUAACUGGGAGAGGUCGUUCAAAACUAGAUCACUAGAGGGCAGGAGAGGGGAGCGGAAUUCCUAGUGUAGCGGUGGAAUGCUCAGAUAUUAGGAAGAACACCAGUGGCGAAAGCGGCUUUCUGGCCUGCACCUGACGCUAAGGGGCGAAAGCUAGGGGAGCGAACGGGCUUAGAUACCCCGGUAGUCCUAGCUGUAAACGUUGGAUACUGGGUAUUGGGGGUUAUGAAACCUUCAGUGCCGAAGCGAACGCGUUAAGUAUCCCGCCUGGGGACUACGGCCGCAAGGUUAAA
rnacentral:rRNA from 1 species